rnacentral:rRNA from 1 species
AAAAAAGGUAAGCUACUAAGAGCGAAUGGUGGAUGCCUUGACUGGUAAAGGCGAUGAAGGACGUACUAGACUGCGAUAAGCUACGGGGAGCUGUCAAGAAGCUUUGAUCCGUAGAUUUCCGAAUGGGGCAACCCAAUGUAUAGAGAUAUACAUUACCUAUAUAGGAGCGAACGAGGGGAAUUGAAACAUCUUAUUACCCUCAGGAAAAGAAAUCAAUAGAGAUUGCGUCAGUAGCGGCGAGCGAAAGCGCAAGAGGGCAAACCCAGUGCUUGCACUGGGGGUUGUAGGACUGCAAUGUGCAAGAGGUAAGUUUAGCAGAACAUUCUGGAAAGUAUAGCCAUAGAGGGUGAUAGUCCCGUAUGCGAAAAACAAACCUUAGCUAGCAGUAUCCUGAGUAGGGCGGGACACGAGAAAUCCUGUCUGAAGCUGGGUCGACCACGAUCCAACCCUAAAUACUAAUACCAGAUCGAUAGUGCACAAGUACCGUGAGGGAAAGGUGAAAAGAACUGAGGUGAUCAGAGUGAAAUAGAACCUGAAACCAUUUGCUUACAAUCAUUCAGAGCCCUAUGUAGCAAUACAGGGUGAUGGACUGCCUUUUGCAUAAUGAGCCUGCGAGUUGUGGUGUCUGGCAAGGUUAAGCAAACGCGAAGCCGUAGCGAAAGCGAGUCUGAAUAGGGCGCUUAGUCAGAUGCUGCAGACCCGAAACGAAGUGAUCUAUCCAUGAGCAAGUUGAAGCUAGUGUAAGAACUAGUGGAGGACUGAACCCAUAGGCGUUGAAAAGCCCCGGGAUGACUUGUGGAUAGGGGUGAAAGGCCAAUCAAACUUCGUGAUAGCUGGUUCUCUCCGAAAUAUAUUUAGGUAUAGCGUUGUGUCGUAAUAUAAGGGGGUAGAGCACUGAAUGGGCUAGGGCAUACACCAAUGUACCAAACCCUAUCAAACUCCGAAUACCUUAUAUGUAAUCACAGCAGUCAGGCGGCGAGUGAUAAAAUCCGUCGUCAAGAGGGAAACAACCCAGACUACCAGCUAAGGUCCCUAAAUCUUACUUAAGUGGAAAACGAUGUGAAGUUACUUAAACAACCAGGAGGUUGGCUUAGAAGCAGCCAUCCUUUAAAGAAAGCGUAAUAGCUCACUGGUCUAGUGAUUUUGCGCGGAAAAUAUAACGGGGCUAAAGUAAGUACCGAAGCUGUAGACUUGCGCACAACUUAGAUUAUUUAAGUUUAGAAUAUGAGAAACUAAGUUAUAUGUUUAGUUAUAUUUUUACUGAUUUUUAUAGAGUAAAGAUAGAAAUAAAACUUAGUAAAAUCAGUAAAAAUAUUCUUAGACUAAAGUUAAGUAGUUUAAGUUGUGUGCAAGUGGUAGGAGAGCGUUCUAUUUGCGUCGAAGGUAUACCGGUAAGGAGUGCUGGAGCGAAUAGAAGUGAGCAUGCAGGCAUGAGUAGCGAUAAUUAAUGUGAGAAUCAUUAACGCCGUAAACCCAAGGUUUCCUACGCGAUGCUCGUCAUCGUAGGGUUAGUCGGGUCCUAAGUCGAGUCCGAAAGGGGUAGACGAUGGCAAAUUGGUUAAUAUUCCAAUACCAACAUUAGUGUGCGAUGGAAGGACGCUUAGGGCUAAGGGGGCUAGCGGAUGGAAGUGCUAGUCUAAGGUCGUAGGAGGUUAUACAGGCAAAUCCGUAUAACAAUACUCCGAGAACUGAAAGGCUUUUUGAAGUCUUCGGAUGGAUAGAAGAACCCCUGAUGCCGUCGAGCCAAGAAAAGUUUCUAAGUUUAGCUAAUGUUGCCCGUACCGUAAACCGACACAGGUGGGUGGGAUGAGUAUUCUAAGGCGCGUGGAAGAACUCUCUUUAAGGAACUCUGCAAAAUAGCACCGUA